rnacentral:rRNA from 1 species
GAUGAACGCUGGCGGCGUGACUAAUACAUGCAAGUCGAGCGAACGGACGAGAAGCUUGCUUCUCUGAUGUUAGCGGCGGACGGGUGAGUAACACGUGGAUAACCUACCUAUAAGACUGGGAUAACUUCGGGAAACCGGAGCUAAUACCGGAUAAUAUUUUGAACCGCAUGGUUCAAAAGUGUAGGACGGUCUUGCUGUCACUUAUAGAUGGAUCCGCGCUGCAUUAGCUAGUUGGUAAGGUAACGGCUUACCAAGGCAACGAUGCAUAGCCGACCUGAGAGAGUGAUCGGCCACACUGGAACUGAGACACGGUCCAGACUCCUACGAGAGGCAGCAGUAGGAAAUCUUCCGCAAUGGGCGAAAGCCUGACGGAGCAACGCCGCGUGAGUGGUGAAGGUCUUCGGAUCGUAAAACUCUGUUAUUAGGGAAGAACAUAUGUGUAAGUAACUGUGCACAUCUUGACGGUACCUAAUCAGAAAGCCACGGCUAACUACGUG